AGAUGCAAUUUGAGCUAUCCCGUCCCAGCCCGAGCCCCAGCCAUCGUGUACUACCCUCAUAACGCCUCUUCCCCCUCCCCUUUCCUCUACCUCCGCCGCCGGCCUAGAUCCCGGCCAACUCCGGCCACUCCCUGCCCCGCCGAUUAUCUCCCCGGGCCCCCUCUCCCCCGGUUUCUAUCCCACCUCGUGGAACCACCAAAUCACAACUCCAGCAGAAACCCUAGCCCCAGAUCCCGCAUGAACACAGAGGAGCAGGAGGUCCAUGGUGAUGGCGGCUCCCAGGAAGCAUGAGGUGGUGAGCAUGCUCGGCGACAGGAUUCACCGCGUGGGGCUACGAGCCCUGGCCUUCACCGACGACGGCGUUAACUGACCUGCAGGACAGCCGACAACCGCGCUCGGGCGCUGCAGACGGCCCAAGCUACGGCCAGCCCUCCUCCUCGCGUUCGCCAUCAGGCCGGCCUCCACCGUCACGCUCGCCUCCGACGACAGAACUCAUAUGAAGGGUGCUUAAUUUAUCAGUUCUUUUCUAGUGGAAAGUUGACCAGGACAGAGGACAUUCACAACUUUGCUUCAAUCCCAAAGCGCCAGGACGGUCCACAGCUGUUGCUGAUCCGGAUUGGACAGGAGAAUGAUGUCCUUGGCCUGGUUUUCCUUGACCCACAGGCGCUGCUCGUCUGGAUUGGAUCGGAGGUUGACGUCCUCAGUCCGUUCUUCUUUUACACUGCCUUUUUCAUCAUCUUCUUGGCAGGUAUGUCUGUCUUUUUCAUCCUUUUUCUUUCACUUGUUCUUUGUGCUGCUUGAUGUAGAGUCCUGUUUGUGCUUCUUGUGGUAGAGUCCCAUCUUAAUUGCAUUGAUAAAAAAUAAUAAGUUAAGGUCGGUUGUAACUAGGUAAAAGCACUUACGCUUUGUAAAUGCUGUGUAAGCUAAUUUGAAGAUAGCAAUGAGUGCUAGUCCUUAAUGUCAAAAGGUUGGAAGUUAUUGCACCUACUGCCUGUACAUACAAGAAUUGAACUAUCUUGAGAUAAUAGUGUUUUCAUACCCUUGAAACCUCCUUGAACAAUCUGCUACAUCACAAAUCUAUAUAAAUAAAUUUUGCUCAUUUUGUUGUUGUUAUGCUCAUUGCAAUAUGACCAAGAUAUACACUCCCAUAUAUGUGUUGAUCUUGGUCUGUUUCCUCUUAUUUGCAUGUAACACAUGUUCCGGUUUUUUCAGCUAUGUUGCGUCACAUUUGUAUUUUCAGUGACUUCUUGAUGUCAAUAUCAGUCUCAGUUGUGUAGUUACCAUGUCAUUUUUUUCAUGCCUGUAAUUUGCAAACGGUUAACAUAGGUAGUAGCUGGACGUUGCUAUAACAGAUACCUACAUUUGUUGUUCUAAAAGAUUUUGUAAUCUAUAUAUUGUUUAUUGUCAUUAUUUGCUUCCAUAGAUCCAUCAGAUAUUUGGAUAACUGCUAUAUUGAUCACCUUUAGUCCUUCUACAGGUUAUUCUGAGUACUGAUGUUAGAAUUCUAUUUCUAUGUUCUGGGAAGCUGAUUAUCCUUGCAAACAACUGCUCUCCGCUUAGGAAGUCAAAAUCGAGUACUUUGCUAUGUUAAAGAUUAGCUUGCACCAUUUCCAGGCAAAGUAAGACAGUUCUAUCUUUUCUGAACACAUAUUUUUUUAUUGCUUCACUAUUCCAACACCUGAUGCAUAUUUUAGGGAUGUCACAGGGCUGGAAAUAACUAUGUUUGAUACUCUUGUUAUCCCUUAUUUAUAUAUCUUCAUUACAUGUGCACUUGUGCCGAGAUUACUUGAGUGAAAUAUAGGAAAUGGACUGGGGCAAAUUUGACGUUUCUUUUCGUGUGUAGUGCACCAGGCUGAAAAAGCUCCAACACGUGAAGCACCACCCAGGAGGAAAACAGUAGCUAGUUAGUGUAGAGAGCACGUUAUAUUUUUGAUAUCUGGGAUAUUAUCUGUACAUACGUGAUUUGAUCUGUGGAGAUGUUGUAAUAGACUAUGGAUGUUAUCAAAAGAAUUUCAUAA